rnacentral:sRNA from 1 species
CAAAGGGUCAUAAUUUGUUGUAAUGAUGCUAUAAUUAAGUUGUGGUAAAGGACAGCAUUUGUAGAUUUUAUAACCAGAAUUGAUUCAUAAAAUGAAUACAGUCCCAGCAGUUUAUGUUAACAUAAUUAAAUGGAAAUGUAAUUCUAACACAGUUUGCUUAUUAAAUUGAAAAUUACCAGGUUAUGAGCACUUUUACAUUUCUGUCAAAAUUGGUCUAAGUCUAGAAUUACAUGAAAUAUCCAUUAAAAUAAAGCAUAUUUAAGGCUCUGUUGCUGGUGACAAAUUUCUUAAAGCACAUGCGGCUUGAUCAUGUGAGAGCAUGUGCUUUUAGUUAGGUUCCCUCUAACUGCCUUUUUCUUUCCUCUGCAGCCAUUGGUUUAGCCCUGGGGCUAGGACAGAGCAUGACCAGGUCACUAAUAAGGGGAUUGUAUCUUCGUUUGGCCUAAGUCCAGCAAUCUGAAAGUUGGAAGCAUCAGCUUCUGAGAGAUAAUCGAGCUGAAAGAGGACACAAGAAAAAUUGUUCUGUGAAAACAGCCAGCAGGUAAGCAAUUCAAAAUCACUUUUUAUUCAUUCAUUUUCUUUUUUUCUAUGCCUGUAAGAAUGUAAUGAAUUGUUGUUAGGUUGCCUUUGGUUCUAAAAAGUCAGCUUAAAAUAUUUUAUGUAUUGUUUAUUGGAAUCUAUUUUAGGAUUACUAGUAAUGAAUAAAAAGAUAUUU